CUCGAGAUCUGAUUGACUUUGGAGAACCUGAUAUUAAGACUCCAGAAAGAUGUCUUCUCAACAUCAGCAGUGCAAGCAGCCCUGCCAGCCACCACCAGUGUGCACACCAAAAUGCCAUGACCCUUGCCCACCUUGCAAGUGUCCAGACCCUUGCCCACCUUGCAAGUGUCCAGACCCUUGCCCACCUAUAAAGUGCCCUGACCCAUGCGUGCCUCAGCAGUGCAAGCAGAAAUGCCCUCCUGGGGCACCUGUUCAACAUUGCUAGCAGAAGUGGCCACCCAAGAGUAUGUAAGAGCUUGAGCUUUUAUCUGCAUCUGGAAAGAAUGACGACAUUCAGCUCAACUAGUUCCAGAGCUCCACCUUCCUCUUCUCUUCAAAGCCUAUCAUGGAUACGGAAGAAGCUUCUCCACCCUUCAGCCUCAGUAUGCCAGUGGUGCUUCCUGACAGACAGAGGUUGCUUUCCUGCGGGUGCUGUACUGCUUCCCUCUGGGAGAUGCCCAAGAAAGCAUCGCAGAGCCUCUGAAGGAAGAGCAGCCGCUCUCCUCCUGGGCGCCCUCUGAGGAUUCUCUCACUGUCUUCUGUGUCGGUCGGUCACCUGGGCAUGGGUUUCUACCAGCUGAGCAAUUGUUACUUAUCCUCCACGUCCUGAAUAAAAUACAGUUCUUUUGUGA